rnacentral:rRNA from 1 species
CUGACUGUGCUAAGGUAGCGUAAUCAGNUGGCUUUUAAAUGGAGUCGAGUAUGAAUGGGUCUACGGAAACAAGCUGUCUCUUUUUGGUUAUAUUGAAGUUUCUUUAAGGGUGCAAAGUCCCUUGAUUAGAAAAAAGACGAGAAGACCCUUAGAGUUUUUAUUAAAGAUAAGAAUUUAUUUAAGUUUUUGCUGGGGCGGCAAAGAGACAAAGCAAUUAAACUCUCUUUUUAUUGUUUUUAGAAGACGAAAAUGUUAAGAAUCAUUAAACUACCUUAGGGAUAACAGCAUAAUUAAAUUUUAGUUUGUGACCUCGAUGUUGGACUAGGAAGGCUUUUGACCAGCAGUCAAAAAGUGUGGUUCUGUUCGAACUAA